CGAAUGUGUGUGUAUUUUAUACAGUAUAGCAACAUGUGUUCCGUUGUGUCUUUUUCAUCACAAAGAUCGCAUUCUUCCGAAUCUACUAGGCGCAUUUUAGCCAACCAGUAGUUCGAGAAGUCGUGUCCAGCCAGUAUUCUAUUUAGUGUUCGCACUUCUUCCCCAUUGAAUGUUGAAUUCCAAAACCACGGUCUUCUUGGAAAGCAGAGAAGUUUGUUGACGAUAAUCGCAUCAUUAUUCAAUCCUGCCUUUGCCAGGGUAUCUGCUGCUUCGUUUCCCUCCAGACCCACAUGGCCUGGAAUCCACUGAAGUACAGUGCCCGUUGUUUGCAGUUCUUUGCAAAUUGUACCAGUCAGACUGUCCCAUGAUUUGGAUUCUUGGUGUUUUUCCAAAAGUAGACAUGCAGACUGGGAGUCGCUGAUGUGUUUUUCACUCGUAAAACCAUCCGUACUCGUGCCCGAUCGUAACCGAACU